UUUUAUCCUGGCUCAGGAGANCGCNGGCGGGGGUCCUUAAUACAUGCAAGUAGACGCACAGGAUGCNCNGUAGUUUACUACACNGUAUUCUUGAGUUGCGAACGGGUGAGUAACGCGUAGGUAACNUGCCUGGUAGCGGGGGAUAACUAUUGAAACGAUAGCUAAUACCGCAUAAGAACAUUUACUGCAUGGUAGAUGUUUAAAAGGUGCAAGAGCAUCACUACCAGAUGGACCUGCGUUGUAUUAGCUAGUUGGUGAGGUAACGGCUCACCAAGGCAACGAUACAUAGCCGACCUGAGAGGGUGAUCGGCCACACUGGGACUGAGACACGGCCCAGACUCCUACGGGAGGCAGCAGUAGGGAAUCUUCGGCAAUGGGGGGAACCCUGACCGAGCAACGCCGCGUGAGUGAAGAAGGUUUUCGGAUCGUAAAGCUCUGUUGUUAAGGAAGAACGUGUGUGAGAGUGGAAAGUUCACACAGUGACGGUACUUAACCAGAAAGGGACGGCUAACUACGUGCCAGCAGCCGCGGUAAUACGUAGGUCCCGAGCGUUGUCCGGAUUUAUUGGGCGUAAAGCGAGCGCAGGCGGUUAGAUAAGUCUGAAGUGAAAGGCAGUGGCUCAACCAUUGUAGGCUUUGGAAACUGUUUAACUUGAGUGCAGAAGGGGAGAGUGGAAUUCCAUGUGUAGCGGUGAAAUGCGUAGAUAUAUGGAGGAACACCGGUGGCGAAAGCGGCUCUCUGGUCUGUAACUGACGCUGAGGCUCGAAAGCGUGGGACGACAGA
rnacentral:rRNA from 1 species